rnacentral:ncRNA from 1 species
GCAGAGUAGAUGUUUGUGCGUUAAGUGUUCCGGGAACGGGGAGUUGAUCCGGAAACGAAAAGGCGCGGGACACCAUCCGUCUCCUUGCGGUACAAACGUCGCAUCCCGCUGU